UAGUUGGUGGGGUAAUGGCCUACCAAGGCGACGAUGCAUAGCCGGACUGAGAGGUUGAACGGCCACACUGGGACUGAGACACGGCCCAGACUCCUACGGGAGACAGCAGUUAGGAAUAUUCGGCAAUGGGGGAAACCCUGACCGAGCAAUGCCGCGUGUGAGAUGAAGGUCCUUUGGAUUGUAAAUCACUUUUAUUAGGGAAGAAUUGUAAGUAUAGGAAAUGAUAUUUACUUGACGGUACCUUUUGAAUAAGCCCCGGCUAACUACGUGCCAGCAGCCGCGGUAAUACGUAGGGGGCGAGCGUUAUCCGGAUUUAUUGGGCGUAAAGCGUGUGUAGGCGGUUUAUUAAGUCUGAGAUGAAAGGCUGUGGCUUAACCACAGUUUGUUUCAGAAACUGGUAGACUAGAGUAUGGUAGAGGCAAAUGGAAUUCAUAGUGUAGCGGUAAAAUGCGUAGAUAUUAUGAGGAACAUCAGUAGCGAAGGCGAUUUGCUGGGCCAUCACUGACGCUGAGACACGAAAGCGUGGGGAGCAAAUAGGAUUAGAUACCCUAGUAGUCCACGCCGUAAAAGAGGAGUACUAAGUGUCGGGCAACCCGUGGCGAAAGUUACCCCAUUAAGUACUCCGCCUGAGUAGUACGGUCGCAAGACUGAAACUCAAAGGAAUUGACGGGCACCCGCACAAGCGGUGGAGCAUCCCGUUUAAUUCGAAAGUACGCGAAGAACCUUACCAAGGCUUGACAUCCCCGGCAAAGCUAUAGAAAUAUAGUGGAGGCUACCCGGGUGACAGGUGGUGCAUGGUUGUCGUCAGCUCGUGUCGUGAGAUGUUCGGUUAAGUCCGCUAACGAGCGCAACCCUUGUCAUUAGUUACUAACAUUUAGUUGAGGACUCUAAUGAGACUGCCGGUAAUAAACCGGAGGAAGGUGGGGAUGACGUCAAAUCAUCAUGCCCCUUACGUCUUGGGCAACAGGCGUGCUACAAUGGCUGGUACAACGAGUCGCAAUACCGCGAGGUGGAGCUAAUCUAAAAAGCCAGUCGUAGUUCGGAUUGAAGUCUGCAACUCGACUUCAUGAAGCUGAAAUCGCUAGUAAUCCUGGAUCAGAAUGCCAGGGUGAAUACGUUCUCGGGUGUUGUACACACCGCCCGUCAAGG
rnacentral:rRNA from 1 species